AAAAAUUUAAUUAUGU
rnacentral:misc_RNA from 1 species